rnacentral:lncRNA from 1 species
UGCAUAUUAUCUGAAUACUUGUUGUCUAUGUUGGAUGGAUGAUUUUAUACAUGUUUUAAAUGAUUUAAACUGUAUAUUUAUAUCUACUAAUAUGUUGGGAUAAAACAUGGGUAGAUGAAAUAGUUGGUGUGUGAUGAAAUAAAAUAAUGAGAGAUAGGUGAUGAUAAUUAGGUGAGGAUAGAUAAGUGAUGAUGAAUCGGUGAUGUAGGAUACUACAACCUUGUCCGACAAUUUGGAGAUGUAGUCAUCUACCAGAGUAUAGAUGGCGACCACGGACUAUUAUAGACAACCCCGUGGAAACACCAGCAGGCUCAUAACCUGUAGGUGAUGAAUUACGAGUUCAGGCGAUGUUGUAACUAUGUAUUCAUGCGAUGAUACUCUAACCCCCUUACUAUGAAUUACGAGUUCAGGCGAUGUUGUAACUACGUAUUCAUGUGAUGAUACUCUAACCCCCUUACUAUGAAUUACGAGUUUAGGCGAUGUUGUAACUACGUAUUCAUGCGAUGAUACCCUAACCCUUGGUGGGCACGUAUUGAGGGAGUAAUCCCUGAAUCAAUACUGUCUAGGCGAUGUAGGCGAUGAUCCUUAGGGAAAGUCCUUAGGAACAAACAUAUAAGGAGAUGCGAUGUAAGAAGAUGAGAGGUAAAAUAUGAUGUAGGAGACGACCCUUAGGAUAAAUCCUUAGGGAGGGUACUUAGGAAUAAAGAAGAUAAUGGGGAUGGGUAAUUGGGUUAAUUGUUUGAUGAUUGAACAUAAUAAUUAUAUUAUUGUGGGUUGAAAACCCUAUGUACUCACCAGGUUUCCCAACUUGACCCACUCAGUUUAUUUAUAUCACAGGUGUUGUUAUGAAGUCACAUUACACUGAGAGAUUAAAUAGAUGUGGAUCACUAGUGUAAAUAAAUGUAAGUUCUGUUUAUGCUUAUGUUUUUGUAUUGGCGAUGACAUCCCAAACGUUUUAAAAUGAAUAAAAUACGUUUCUUCGAAAAUGUUUUGAUAACGUAUUUAACAUGUUUUUCUGGGAACAAAUUCCGCAACAUUUUUAUAAAAAGAAGUACUCUGAUUUUUACAAAGCAUAAACAAAAUCGGUCUUUUCUGGCCGUGAAAAUGGGGAUGUCACAGUUGGUAUCAGAGCAUUAGUUUAAGCGAACUAGGAAUAUGGAUUUAUUUCUAGACUUAAACUUAGAAUGCUAAGCAAUGAUGGUGAGGAGUGUGUCUUAGGUAAUACACCUGAAUAGACACAACGACUAGCUUAUUUAGGGAAAAUGCCUAACAUGCUUUUAUGUGCUAAAUGAUUUAUGAUGCUAAAUGUAUAAUCGGAUCUAUAGUCUGUUGCCGACCGGAUCUGGAAAUUUUAUGUGCUCAGGUUUCUAAACGUUUAAUUACGAUAUUAGAACUGACAUGUAACUUUUCGGAGUAAUAGGGAGAUUUAUACGUCUAUCGUAAAUAAAACUUUCCUAUCUUAAAUUCUCGCCUCGGUACAUCGAAUGUCUGAUUUGGUGCAUAGAUCAACAUGGUGAGCACUAGAAGCGGAUUUGGAAGCAGUAACCCGCAGCCCGAGCCACCAGUGAUUAAGCAUGUGCCAGAGGUAGCAGCUGUACCUGGGCCAAUCACGAUCGCCGGAGUACAAGCAAUGGUGCAGAUAAUGUUGGAUCAACAGAUGGAAAAAACAAGGUGUUUACUUCAACAAAGUAAGGACGAACUUACUGUGCCAGUACGCCAGACACCCACUCUUGAGGCGACCAUCUGGGUUGCUAAGUCUGUCGAUGAAGUGAUCAACAGUAGUAUCGCUAACAGGGUUGAUGUUGGCAAGAAAAGGAAAUUUGAGGGGUCUUCAAGGUCUGAAAAGAGCAACCUGCUCUCAAAGUCUGGAGGAGUAGGUAAAGCAGAAUGGUAUGACAAGUAUGGAAGAAAACACAACGGUAGAUGCCCUAAGGAAGUAACAUGCUUCAAAUGCGGGAAGAGUGGUCACUAUGCCCACGAAUGCCCAACUGAGGAAGAAGUUUGCUUUAAGUGUAGUAAAAAGGGACACUUCAAGCAAGAAUGUCCGAUGAGAGCUACAAAGCCAAGUGUACCAUUGAAGCACCAUGGGAGGUACUACGAAAGAGUAACUUGUUUCAAGUGUGGAAAGCAUGGGCAUUACGCCAAUGAGUGUACAUUCAACACUAGGGUGUGUUCCGAAUGUAAUGAGGAAGGGCACCUCAAGCAAGACUGCCCAAAAAGGAAAGGAGUUACAAAGCCAAAGGCACCACUGAAGAACUAUGAGGAGAUGCUACAAAGAAGUGACUUGUUUUAAGUGUGGGAAGAACGAGCAUUACACCAAUGUCUGUACAUCCAGCAAGAGGUUCUGUUACGAAUGCGGGAACAAGGGACAUAUAUCAAAGGAUUGCCCGAAGAAAAAUGAAGCAGCGGGAGCGAAUGCACCUCCAGAGCUAAGGAGCAUCCUUGACAAAGCAGCUGGCAAUGCAAGGAAUCAAGAGUAAGGACGGAUGACCGAAGAACAAGUUAUGAAGUACUCAUGUAGAUAGUACCACGUGGUGUAGCCUAUUAGAGGCAUAGUCUAGGGUGAACUUGAACACCUAUGUAAUAGUUUCAAGAAAUAAUAAAUCCUUCAUUUUGUUAUUUGGUGUGUUAAACUGUUAUGUGAUUUUCUUGUAUGGUGACUUGGAGACUGCGAGACAAUACUUGGGACGAGUAUGAGUAGGUGUGAAUGGUAGUAGAGGCCUAUACUACCGGAAGCACAGGACUCACACUUGGAUCAGGGAAAGUCACAAGGUUACCAAGAAACUAGUAAUUGAUUUCGUUUUAUUCAAGUAUGUCGUUGCCAUUGUUUCGGUAAUGACUAAGAAGAUUGUUGUUAUCCUGACCCUAGUGGUCAUAUCACAUUGAGUCCGACUACGAUGAGUAGGUUACGUGGUUCAGAGAACCAAUUUUGAUGUAGCGUCCGACUUAAACCAAACGAUUGAAAUCAAAGCGAUCAAAAGAAGUAUCACACUCGUUGUUAAAGAAGUUGGAAGCUAGAAAUGCUACAUGUUAAAAUGUGAUUAUAUCACAUUGGACCAUGAAGGAAGGCGUAUUCCAUUCCGGAAAUUGACUCUAAGAGGCCAAAGUCUAAGUGUUGCAACAUACGAUGAUAGAUCAUUAGAAUAUGACACAUUGAUCCAUAGUAGUAAUAAAAGAACUUAUCUUAAGUUCGUAUCCAAUGAGGAUCGACAUCGUGACUUGAAGGUCAUAAUUUGGAGUCUAGCCUGAGGUAGAGAGCAGGUGCAUGAUCGAGUACUGCUUACAGUCAAUGAGUCUAAGAGAUAGACUUGAAGGAAUAUUGAAGUUAUAAUUGUUACAUAGGAUGAAGAGAUGAUGUAUCGAGUCGUUAUACGAGCCCUGUUUCGUUGAUGAUUCCGGGACGUAAUCAUCCUAAGAGGGAGAUAAUUGUAACGCCCGUAGAUCCGGGCUAGUCAAUUUAGAGGCAAUAAGUGUCGAAAACGACUUUUUGGCAAAAGAUUAUUUAUAAUAAAUAGUCUUAAACAAGCUGUAGAAUAUGUUUCCGUACAUAUAAAGAACGCCGAAAUCCGAGUUAUAACGAAGAAGUUAUGACCCGUCGAAGUUCCGAGACGAAACCGGCACGACACCGGGAAGCGUAAAUAGUGAAUUUACGAUAGAGCGAGAUUUAGCCUUAACGACCUAAACAAAAGUCGUAGAAUAUGUUAAACCGAGAAAAUCCAUAAAAAAUGCCCAAAUCUGACUUCGUAUGAAGAAUUUAUGAUUUUUCUAAGAUUCGGCUUAGCAAUGCACGACCCGAAACUCGAAUCUUAGUUCGAGCGGUUUUUGGCUUAAGCGACCUAAAUGAGAGUUGAAGAUCUCAUUAAUAGGAACUCAAAGGUAAAAAUAUAGAUGAAAACGGAUUCCGUAUGAAGGAGUUACGAAUUCUUUUCGGUCAUUUAAUAGUCUAAACGCCUCCUACUGGUAAAUUUAAGAUCGCUCGAGAAUUAGCCGACGGAGUCUAAAUGAAAGCUGUAGAUCUUGAUUUUACCUACGGGUGGAAAAAAAGAACGUCGAAAACGGAGCUCGUAUGCGGAAGUUACGGGAUUUAGAAGUCGGCAGGGUGCUGCUGCAAAAGGGGUGACGUGGCNAUGAUGACAUGUGGCACUGACUCGGCGAGUCAGUGAACCGACUCGGCGAGUCCAUCAGGAUUUCACACUAUAAAUAGAUGUGUCGGGUUCCAUUCAUUCUCACACCUUUCCUCUUCCAAUUUCUCUCUCUAAAUUCUCUCUCUAACCCCCCUUAAGCCCCCUAAAGCCUAGGUAAACCCCCUAGCACCCGAAGGAAGCCCCAAGGAUCCUGGAGUUCCGAAAAAAAGCCUUUCGGCUCGGGAACGCUGCUCCAGCGAAGCCCGGUUUUGCGAAAAACCCGCUGUAAGUGAGAUGUACCUAUCCUAUCUUUAGUAUAGCUUAUAUUACAAUAUAGUAAUGUUAUUAGGACCUUAUAAGGAGUAUUUGGGAUAUUAUUAUGGGUUAUAUAAGUAUUGUUUAACGCUUAUAUAAUAAUAAUAACUAGACUAUUAAAUUAGUCUCGUCAAGCGUUAGACUAAAGGGAUAAUUGUUUUAAGAGUAACGAAGUGCUGUCAGAGUGCUGAAUCACCACCUUAUCAAGUGAGUGAAUGGUCCCUUUCAUCUUACACAUAGAUAUGAAAUAUUUUACAUAAAUUGCAUGCUAUGUGUGCAUAUUAUCUGAAUACUUGUUGUCUAUGUUGGAUGGAUGAUUUUAUACAUGUUUUAAAUGAUUUAAACUGUAUAUUUAUAUCUACUAAUAUGUUGGGAUAAAACAUGGGUAGAUGAAAUAGUUGGUGUGUGAUGAAAUAAAAUAAUGAGAGAUAGGUGAUGAUAAUUAGGUGAGGAUAGAUAAGUGAUGAUGAAUCGGUGAUGUAGGAUACUACAACCUUGUCCGACAAUUUGGAGAUGUAGUCAUCUACCAGAGUAUAGAUGGCGACCACGGACUAUUAUAGAC